rnacentral:lncRNA from 1 species
CUUUGGCUGCAGAGAAAGGAGCCGUGCUGCCCGGGGACAGGCAGGAUGGGAGCGGGCAGAGGGAUGGCAGCUCCCCACGGGAUGUCUCUUUCGGAGAACUCAGCUCCCAGGGGACACAGACCAGCCUGGUGGUGGCCUUAUGAUGCAGCCACCACCGUGACACUGGGAGGGGGACGGAGGAGGACUCCCUGUCCUCCCCAUACAAAGUGGGUCCCAGCUGUGGCCCCACGAGCUCCAAAAAUCCAUCGGGCGGUGACGAAGUGCUGCCGUUCUCAGCGGGCAGGUGGAGGGACCCGCUUUGCCUUUGGGGUGGGAAACCCAGAAGGGGUGGAUGCGGGAGCCAGGCGAGCGGCACGGGGACCGAGGCGCACGGGGAGGUGCCGGCCAUUUCACGCACCAGCGGCCGCAGGGUGAGAGGAAAAGGCUGGAGCAGGGGUGAGGACAGCCCUUGGACCACAUCUCCCAGGGGAGAUGUUCAGCAGCUGGGUUACCCCUUGUCUGUACUGCAGUGGCCUUCGAAAACCACUAGUACAAGAGCAUUUUGCACUAUUUCUCUGCUCCCUCUCUCUCUUCCUCCUUCUCUUUUUCUCCCCUUUCCCUGUGAAAACUUUGUUGUUGUUGUUUUCUUUCCUUUUUUUUUUUUUUUUUUUUUUUUUUUUUUUUUUAAUUUUCCACAUUGGAUUUUGGGACUCAUUUCCCCAUGACAAGGGUCUCCGCGACUGCUGCGCUGGGAAAUCCUGCAGCAAAGGGAAGGAGAAGGAGCUGUGGGGUCUGGGCAUUGCAGCCCCGGCAUUCAAAACACGCACCUGGAGCCAUCCAAAGGAUGCGGCCAGUCUUUGGGGGAGGAUGCAGCCAAUGCAUCCCCCAAAGCUGGUCUGAGACUCUUGGGGCUGGACAGGGAGGAAGAGGGGGCCCAAGCACCAGUGGGGCCAGGACAGGAGGGACUCAGCACCAGCUCUGGUGAAGGCUCCUCUCCGUCACUGGUUGGGUGCCUUCAUAGUGUCCCGGGGGACGGCAUCCCCACCACCACCACAACCAGGCAUCCUGCAAGGAUGCUUUGCCCUAAUGAGGGCAGGACUGGCUGGCCCCCAAGUUUUGCCAAUAGACUUCCACGGAGACCCAGUGGGGCACGUUUGGAGCUGGGGGUGGAGUGCCUUCCUUUGCUGAAAAGAAGGGGGGAACGGGGGGGUGAGGAGGGGCACCAAAUGCAGAUCUCUUUCCGUCCAUGAAAAAGAAAAAGAAAAGCAGGAGUUAGGCAACCCCCGUGGUGCUGGAGGGGAGCUGGGGCUGGGGAGGGCCCCCUUGGCUCUGUGGGGCUGAAGGGGGGGGUGGAGGGGUGGCAGGAUGGAGGGGGAGCCCGUGCCAACCCCCAGGGCCACAGGCACCGUCACCGCUGUCUCCCGUCUCCUCCACUUGCCAGUCCCCAUGCAAAACCUCCCAACUGUUAUAGGCCAGUACCACCUUCCCCAGUGCCCCCCC